UCUCCGUAGGUGAACCUGCGGAGGGAUCAUUACUGAGUUUUUAACUCUCCAAACCAUGUGAACUUACCACUGUUGCCUCGGUGGUCGGUGCUGGAAACAGUGCUGCCACCGGUGGACUACUAAACUCUUGUUAAUUUUUGUCAAAUCUGAAUCAAAACUAAGAAAUAAGUUAAAACUUUCAACAACGGAUCUCUUGGUUCUG
rnacentral:misc_RNA from 1 species